UACAGAGGUCUCAAGCGUUGUUCGGAUUCAUUGGGCGUAAAGGGUGUGUAGGUGGCGCCGUAAGUCGGGUGUGAAAUCUCGGGGCUUAACUCCGAAACUGCAUUCGAUACUGUGGUGCUUGAGGACUGGAGAGGAGACUGGAAUUCAUGGUGUAGCAGUGAAAUGCGUAGAUAUCCGGAGGAACACCGGUGGCGAAGGCGGCUUCCUGGACCGAUUACUGAGCUGAGGCGCGAAAAGCUAGGGGGAGCAAAACGGG
rnacentral:rRNA from 1 species